GUCUCAAUUCUGAACUUUCUUCACAGUCUACAGAACAGUUUGAAAAACUCUAAGCAGGACGAGCGAGAGUGCUUAUUCUCCUUCGGCAGAGUUCAGCAGUCGUUCGGCUAAGUCUGCGCUGGUGCUGCGUUCAGAGAGCAGGGGGUUACCCCCAGGGCUGCUCCGCUCCAUGGACCGGCCGAGCAGGUCUAGACCACUGAGUGACCCCCCGCAUCGGCCCCUUUGAGGGAAAGGCAAGUUCGGUCAGCAGGAAGAAAGUGAGGCGUGGCCCCUUUUCAGUGAGGGAGCGACCCGCGGCCGUCCAGAGGUAAAAAUGAAGGUUUGAAGAUGACAACUUAAAAGAAAAUGAGGACACUUGGCCUCAAGUUUCCAGGUAAUGGGAGGCUGUUCCACGAGGCCCCCAGCAACAGCGGAGUGAUAGCCAUCCACCAUGAAUACAAAACAGGCAGGCAGGGCACGAUGAGGCUGGAAGUGCUCAGCUCAGCAGGGCAUGCAUGCUUACUGAGUGCCAGCCACCGUCUGUCUGCCUCUGCACUGACCCAGCUGAACGCACUGGCAGAGAGAGAACUUGCACAACCAAACAGCCUUCAUGCUCUCCGGUUCCAACAUAAUUGUGUCGUUGUUAGCUGCAUGGUUCUGUCACUGUGCAGCCUGGCAAACACUGAAAAUUGUAUAAAGUAGUACUUCCCCACCUUCAUACUUAAAUAACCCUGUCCCAUACUGCUUAAUGUUUUCUCUGCUCUGACUUCCUGAAUUAAACUGAGGGUGGGUUUGUU